ensembl:lncRNA
UGGGUUGGAAGGGACCGCAAGGAUCAUCACGUUCCAACCCCCUGCCACAGGCAGAGUUGCCAGCUGCUAAAUCAAGUACAAGGUCAGAUUGCCCAGGGCCACAUCCAACCUGGCCUUGAACACCUCCAUGGAGAGGGCAUGCACAGCCUCUCUGGAUGACCUGCUCCACCCCUCACCACUCUCUCAGUGAAAAACUCCCCCCUGACGUCUAAUUUAAAUCUCCCUUCCUUCAGUUUAAAACCAUUCCUCUUCGUGCCAUCAUGUAAAAAGUUCAUUUCCCUCAUGUUUAUAAACUCCCUAUAAAUACUGUAUGGCCACAAUGAGGUCUUCCCACAGCCCUCUCUUUUCCAGACUGAACAACCCCAGUUCCCUCAGCCUGGAUUCACAGCAGAGCUGCUCCAGCCCUUGGAUCACCUUCAUGGCCCUCCUCUGGACCCCCUCCAAAAGCUCCACAUCCUUCCUGUGUUGGGGCCCCAGACUUGGAUGCGGUACUCCAGCUGGGGCUUCACAAGGGCAGAACAGAGGGGCACAAUCACCUCCCUUGUUCUGCUGCCCACCCCUCUUCUGAUGGAAGCCAGGAUACCAUCAGCUAUCUGGGCUGCAAGUGCACACUGCUGGCUCAUGUUAAGUUUUUCACCAAUCAGAACUGUGGCCUUAAGAUAUAUGUUUUCCCCUGACAUCCUUACAAUUGACAUCCCAAAAUAUAAUAAAAACAAAAAAAAACUGGUGGCAGAUGAGGAAAACAAUAUGUAGAUGCCACAGUCAAGUUGCUUUUGAUUGCAUCGGUGUCAUCCCACAAUACGCAUACCUUUACGAGCAAUCCUGAUUGCCUGGCAUCCCGUAGCCAUAUAAGGCUGGAUGUUUAUUUGCAAGAACUAUUUGCCCCUGAGGCCCCUAGUUCUGAAAUUCAAAGGCAGAAUAAUUGGGACAGUCCAUAGGCUGCUGUUGCACACCAGUGAUAUGCCUAAAAUGUUUGUGAACAACACCCUGUGCUGCAGUUAAAGCUGGAGGCCAAAUGAGAUGGCUGUAAUCCAUUCUAACCUUGAUGUCAUUAAACUGCAAAUCAAACCACAGUGAAAUUAAUCUACCAACUGCACCCAACUGGUGGCAAGUACUCCGUGAUAGUCCAAAGCCUCAGCAUUUGUGUUUGGCAGCUACAAUUCAACUGACUGUGGACAACCUCCGUUCAGAAAGCAUCUAUGGUUUAUAACACCUACCCUGCAGUCUUUCUGCCAAGAAGUAUGACACAGAUACUCCUCUCUGAAAUGAAGUUUCCAGGCCUUGAGGACUGCAUAUUGCAUCAUCAUUCUCUCUUGAAAGCCUGAAGCCACGCUAUGCGGAAAAAAGACAUCUGUUUGGGAUCAGUCAAUGGGACAGUUGAAAAAAGACACUAAAGGGCUGAUGCUUUCCAAAAAGGAGAAUAUACAGGAUGGUUGAUAACAUCAAAUGACCUCAACUAGGCAUCUGUAUGAAUUUCAGCUCAAAGUUACUGGAGGCUUUUCUAUCAGAAAGAAAAGCUCCCACUCUGUGUCCUGUGAUGGAUGGAUGGGAAGGAUGGGCUUCUCCCCACCACCCCUUGGGCCUGUGGCUGAAGUGACCGGGGGCCCUGUGGGGGAUUAUCAGAACUCAUGUGACUCAAAUCAGCAAGAUGAGAGCCAAACCUUAGACAAAACAGGGAAAACAGCCUGCGUGGAAAAUAGAGAAGUCCUGAAAAAGAUCAUUACAUUUGUGUUGCUCGUUUACCUCUAUGUCCAUACUUUGGAGUUCAGAUACAGCAUUAGCUAUUAAGAGAUUAAAUAUCCACACACACAC